UCAUUUCAAUACAUUAUAAAACAUACCAAAACCUUGUUAUACCAAAUCAAAAUCUUACUGAAUUCACAAGUAUACACAUACCAAAAUGACAUUUCAUUUGGUCACACAUAUGUCUCAUUUAUGCCAAAAUAUCAUUUAUCAAAAUCACCGCAAAAUGAGCAUAACACAUAAUGCUUCCAUACCAAACCAAACAUUUCCAAUUCAAGCCAUAUCACAUAACUUGAUCAAACCCUAAAAUUCAUACCACAUUCACCAACAUAAGAGACCAUAUAAUUCAACUCAUAAACUAACUUAUACAUGCCAUAUUUACAUUAUUUACAUAAGGUCCAAAAGUACCAAAUAUCGUCUGGAUAGUGUAAUAGCAAAUCUCCGACCUCGUCCGAAAUCGGGCUAGCUUCCGAAAUCUAUAGGACAUAAGAAAAAGAACUAAAUAAGUAUUAAGCUUAGUAAGCCCGUCUAAUAUAGAAUUAAACUUACCAAUUUAACAUUAAGAAUUAAAGCAAUUAAAAUAAACUCAUUUGUCCACAAAGCCUAUUCACAUCACCAUUCGCAAGUUAGUCAUUAUCUAUAUAUUCAUCCAUUCAUAAAGAUGAAACCAAACAUAUAACAUUCUUUUAACAUCAAAAUUCAUUCCUCAAUUCUUAUAAAUCAUAUAUCAUAAAAAUCAAUCCAAGUCAUAUAGCUAAAUAUAUCAUGUCAUCCCUAUAAUUCAUAUAUUCAUAAAACAAAUAAUCCAUAUAAAUCAGGUAUUUCAUAUAACUUAUUAAUCAUGUAAAUCAUAUAACAUUUAUAUGAAUUCGUUCCUAUUCGUAUAACUUGUAAUUCAUCAGUAGUAACAAAAAUUUAUCCGUAUCAACAGUAACCUAUACAUAUCAACAAUAAUUCAUCCAUAUAAUUACAUAGCUUAUUCAUAUGAUCAGUAACAGUAAUUAUGCCCGUUGAACUUCGUAGAAUAUUGAUAGAUACUCGGGUGAUACACACUAAGUGUAUUUAUCGGUAAUCUAUCAAUUCAUUAUCCUUUUUGCUCUUUCGAGCCAUGAUCGAUAAACUCCUCCUGAGCUGAUAAACAGUGGGCUAUAUUGAGCUGAAACGGUAAGCUCUAAUGCGCUAGAUAGUAAGCUCAUACAAGCUGAAACAGUAAGCUCUAACGAGCUGAAAACAAUAGGCUCUUACGAGCUAAAAUAUUGGUAAGCUCAUACGAGCUAUGGUGAGUCCGCAACAAAUGCAGGAGCUCGACCAAAUCGGUAACCCUAGUGACAUGUCACUCGUAUCUAACAACUUCCUACGGUCCAAACGGGACUCGGUAACUAUUCAAAUUUAUCAUUUAAGCAUUCAAUGAUCAAUAAUUCAAUUUCUCAAAUCACAUAUAUAUAAUCUAUUCAUUUAAAUACAUACAUUUAAAUACUCAAUUCGCAUACCUUCUCAAAUUUAAUUGAAUACAUACAUUGAAAUACUCAAUUCGCAUACUUUCUCAAAUCACGUAUAUAUAUAAUCGAUUUAAUUAAAUACAUACAUUUAAUUACUAUUGCAAUUGUUUAAUAGUUCAAUUCUAGCUCUACGGACUUACCUUGUAUUUGCUCGAAUACUUUCGUCUACCCGUCUAACUUUUGUUUCCCCCGAUCAAGUUUCGGUAUUUUGUUUAUCUUGAUCUAUAUAAAUUCAAAUUUAACUCAUUUCUUCACCAAAUCAUUCAAUUCAAUCCAUAUACAUAUAUUUUGGCCUUUUUACAAAAUAGUCCUCAUAUUUUCACAUUUUGACACUUUAGUCCCUAAUUCACAAAUACACAAAUAUACGAAAUUUCUUUAUACAUAUACUUAGCCGAAUACUAUAUAGCUUCUAAUUGGCCCAUAUUUUCAUUUAUUUCACAUUUCUAACCACAAUAUAUCUAUUUUUUUAUCCCUAAUUCUCAUUUUUGUCAAAAUUCACUUUAUAAAACUUGUAUAUAUAUCAAUAUCCAUCAAUAAUCUAGCAUAAUACUUCAGAAUAUACUAGUAUUCAACAAUGGCACAUUUCAAAAUCAUCAAAAUUUUCAGAAAUUAAGGUACGGGCUAGCUAUAAUACAAAGCAACGAUCUCAAAAACGUAAAAAUUAUCAGAAACCGAGCACAGAACAUACCUUAAUCAAGCCACACAAGUGCCGAAUGGUUUAAGCAUUCAAAACCCUACUCUUUUCUUUAGUUUCGAUUCAAAAAGAUGAGAAAAU
rnacentral:lncRNA from 1 species